AAUCCGUGAAUAAAACGACCGUUUCCAUUCCGGGUACAAUAUAAAUUCACACCCGCAAUCCCUAAACCCAAGAAAACGCACCCUCGUUCUCCUGCUGCUUCGAACUUCUGGUGCUGAUCACUGCUUCAUAUCCAAGCCAUGGCGGAUGUGGAUGCCGAUGUUGCUGCACCUGGUAUACCAAAGAAGAAAACGUUCAAGAAGUUCAGUUUCAGAGGUGUCGAUCUCGAUGCUUUCUUGGAUACGUCCACUGAUGAACUCGUCAAGCUCUUUCCUGAUCGUGCUCGCCAAAGGCUUCAGAGAAGUUUGAAGUGGAAGCCAAUGGCUCUGAUCAAGAAAUUACGCAAGGCUGUGAGUAUUCUAUUUUGCUUCUCUUUUGAUUAAUGCGUGGAUUUGCAUUUGUUCUAUUGUUGAGAGUAGAAACGAAAAAUGCCUAAGAUUUUGGAUUACUCCUAAUCUUUUUGUUUUUCUUAGUGUUCUAGUUGAUUUCUGUAGUAUCAUCUUUAUAAUCUCUGUUGUAUGAGAUUCGUGGCUGCUGUUGCAAGUGUCGCCAGUGAAGUAGAUAGCCUUGAUUAUUCAUUGGGAUAUUUUACUGAUUUCUUGAAUUAUGAUAAAUUUCCCCUGAACUAUGUUGUUCCAAGUAAUGAGCAAAGUAAAUAAUAGAUAGCACCAAUUACUGAGGCUAUUAUUCUGCUGUCCUGAAAUAGAAAAGGGAGGCUCCACCUGGUGAGAAACCUGAGCCAGUUAG